rnacentral:rRNA from 1 species
CGUAGCAAUACGUCAGCGGCAGACGGGUGAGUAACGCGUGGGAACAUACCUUUUGGUUCGGAACAACACAGGGAAACUUGUGCUAAUACCGGAUAAGCCCUUACGGGGAAAGAUUUAUCGCCGAAAGAUUGGCCCGCGUCUGAUUAGCUAGUUGGUGAGGUAACGGCUCACCAAGGCGACGAUCAGUAGCUGGUCUGAGAGGACGACCAGCCACACUGGGACUGAGACACGGCCCAG